CGUGGGAAUCUACCCUAAACUGAGGGAUAAGCACCGGAAACGGUGUCUAAUACCGCAUAUGGUCUUCGGAUUAAAGCUUCGGCGGUUUAGGAAGAGCCCGCGUAAGAUUAGCUAGUUGGUGAGGUAAAGGCUUACCAAGGCAACGAUCUUUAACUGGUUUGAGAGGAUGACCAGUCACACUGGAACUGAGACACGGUCCAGACUCCUACGGGAGGCAGCAGUGAGGAAUCUUCCACAAUGGGGGCAACCCUGAUGGAGCAACGCCGCGUGCAGGAUGAAGGUUUUCGGAUUGUAAACUGC
rnacentral:rRNA from 1 species